AUAAAUAACCCAUUGCUUUUCAGCAUUUGUAUUUGAAAGAAAUGAAAAGGAUAUUUAUUGGGAAGCCUUUGAGACACACAUGGUUCAUCAUUUUUUAAGAAGACAUGGAAUUGGAUUUAAAUAAAAGAUAAUCCGUGUAACCUAACCUGGAAACGUGGAUAAAGAGAGGAUUACAAUAAUCUUUGAUGAAAUUCUGAGUUUCUUCCUGAUAAACCUUGAUUUGGAGUGGAUUACUUUAUUUUUAAUAUUGUUUUCCUACCAACAACUUAAUCCAAAGUCUAUGAUCUAAGAAAAACUAUUACGAUGUUUUGUAUUCUGAUUGAAGAUGAAAUAUUCAGUGGAUGAUUUCAAUGCAAGAUGAUCUUAAUUGGACGAACUUGCAUAUUGAAGAAAACUUGGAAUUUGUAAUAAAAUUACCAAAUGUCUUCAUUCUAUCCUGAAGUCAAAUGAUUAGAAACGACCAUUUAUCAGAAUGUUAACAUUAUAAAUCUGAUGAGGGCGUAUUCUCUAAGGGUUAUAGAAUUAUAUCAUAAAAUUCUGCCUCUGAUUUUCUGUGAAUGGAGCUUUUGUGUGUCUCAAAUACAUCUCUUGAAUAUUCUUUUUGUGCUAUCAAAUAUGUGAAGUUGUGAAGACUUUUUUUUUCUAAAUGAUGGUUUGUA